rnacentral:rRNA from 1 species
CCUACGGGAGGCAGCAGUGAGGAAUAUUGGUCAAUGGACGCAAGUCUGAACCAGCCAUGCCGCGUGCAGGAAGACGGCUCUAUGAGUUGUAAACUGCUUUUGUACGAGGGUAAACGCAGAUACGCGUAUCUGUCUGAAAGUAUCGUACGAAUAAGGAUCGGCUAACUCCGUGCCAGCAGCCGCGGUAAUACGGAGGAUCCAAGCGUUAUCCGGAUUUAUUGGGUUUAAAGGGUGCGUAGGCGGUCGGAUAAGUUAGAGGUGAAAUCCCGAGGCUCAACUUCGGAAUUGCCUUUGAUACUGUUCGUCUAGAGAGUAGUUGAGGUAGGCGGAAUGUAUGGUGUAGCGGUGAAAUGCUUAGAGAUCAUACAGAACACCGAUUGCGAAGGCAGCUUACCAAGCUACUUCUGACGUUGAGGCACGAAAGCGUGGGGAGCAAACAGGAUUAGAUACCCGGGUAGUC